UACGUAGGGGGCAAGCGUUGUCCGGAAUCAUUGGGCGUAAAGAGCGUGUAGGCGGUCCGGUAAGUCGGCUGUGAAAGUCCAGGGCUCAACCCUGGGAUGCCGGUCGAUACUGCCGGACUAGAGUUCGGAAGAGGCGAGUGGAAUUCCCGGUGUAGCGGUGAAAUGCGCAGAUAUCGGGAGGAACACCUAUGGGCGAAGGCAGCUCGCUGGGA
rnacentral:rRNA from 1 species